rnacentral:rRNA from 1 species
AGAGUUUGAUUAUGGCUCAGAUUGAACGCCGGCGGCGUGCCUAACACAUGCAAGUCGAACGAAGUUAAGGAGCUUGCUCUUUAACUUAGUGGCGCACGGGUGAGUAACGCGUGGAUGAUCUACCCAUCGGUUCGGGAUAACGGUUGGAAACGAUCGCUAAUACCGUAUAAGAUUCUGUAUCAACAUGGAAUGAAAGGGGGCCUCUGCAUAUGCUCUCGCUGAUGGAUGAGUCCGCGUCUCAUUAGGUAGUUGGUAGGGUAACGGCCUACCAAGCCGACGAUGAGUAGCCGGCCUGAGAGGGUAAUCGGCCACACUGGGACUGGAACACGGCCCAGACUCCUACGGGAGGCAGCAGUGGGGAAUAUUGCGCAAUGGGCGAAAGCCUGACGCAGCGACGCCGCGUGAGGGAUGAAGGCCUUCGGGUCGUAAACCUCUGUCAGGAGGGAAGAAGUGUACGGGUGCUAAUCAGCCCGUAUUUGACGGUACCUCCAAAGGAAGCACCGGCUAACUCCGUGCCAGCAGCCGCGGUAAUACGGAGGGUGCAAGCGUUAAUCGGAAUCACUGGGCGUAAAGCGCGCGUAGGCGGCUUGAUAAGUCAGGGGUGAAAUCCCACCGCUCAACGGUGGAACUGCCUUUGAUACUGUCUUGCUUGAGUGUGUGAGAGGAUGGCGGAAUUCCAGGUGUAGGAGUGAAAUCCGUAGAGAUCUGGAGGAACAUCAGUGGCGAAGGCGGCCAUCUGGCACACAACUGACGCUGAGGUGCGAAAGCGUGGGUAUCAAACAGGAUUAGAUACCCUGGUAGUCCACGCUGUAAACGAUGGAUACUGGGUGCUGGGGGCUCGACUCUCGGUGCCGUAGCUAACGCGUUAAGUAUCCCGCCUGGGGAGUACGGUCGCAAGGCUGAAACUCAAAGAAAUUGACGGGGGCCCGCACAAGCGGUGGAGUAUGUGGUUUAAUUCGAUGCAACGCGAAGAACCUUAC